GAUGAACGCUGACAGAAUGCUUAACACAUGCAAGUCCACUUGAAUUUGGGUUUUUAACUUAGGUUUGGGUGGCGGACGGGUGAGUAACGCGUAAAGAACUUGCCUCACAGCUAGGGACAACAUUUGGAAACGAAUGCUAAUACCUAAUAUUAUGAUAAUAGGGCAUCCUAUAAUUAUGAAAGCUAUAAGCGCUGUGAGAGAGCUUUGCGUCCCAUUAGCUAGUUGGAGAGGUAACGGCUCACCAAGGCGAUGAUGGGUAGCCGGCCUGAGAGGGUGAUCGGCCACAAGGGGACUGAGACACGGCCCUUACUCAUACGGGAGGCAGCAGUGGGGAAUAUUGGACAAUGGACCAAGAGUCUGAUCCAGCAAUUCUGUGUGCACGAUGAAGUUUUUCGGAAUGUAAAGUGCUUUCAGUUGGGAAGAAAGAAAUGACGGUACCAACAGAAGAAGUGACGGCUAAAUACGUG
rnacentral:rRNA from 1 species